GUUCGAUUAGUCGAUUUUCAGACGUUUUAGUCGAGUCUUGGUCGACCAAGGAAAAUCUUAGUCGGGGACAGCCUUAACAACCACAGCCAAGACCCUGAUACUGUGGCUUUUCUUGUUGUCCCCGUCAGAUCCCUACUGCGAUUGUUUACAAAAUUUGCCUAACCAUAUAAUAACAGUGGUUACUUCCUCUUACACAGUUGAAUGAUCUGUGUUCCUACCAACUUUCAAGCCAAACCUACGCCCUUGGAGGGACCAUUUGCAAGGGUAUAAGCCAAUAUUCAAAUUCAGCUCACCCGACGCCUUGCCUAUUGGGGAAGAUGACUGCAGGUACUGUCGCACUCGGACAGCAGCGUCUCAACAACAUUUCCAGCAAAGGCACAUUAAGUAUGCAGUGUAUUUUAUAGAUGGUGGCAACGGAUGUCUGCUUGGUGAGACCACUGGUAAACAAGCCUGGAAACAAUCCACCCUUUCCUGUCCAUGGGGGUUGUUAGGAUCUUGAAAGCACGCAGAUGGACCAGUGUGGACAAAAGGCAGACUGCGUAUUACCAGCGAAGCAGGAUGGCGAGGAGCGGAAAAAAGGCACACAACUUCUGUUUGCAGAAAACAAGUCAUUGGGGACUUUCUGCAGCAGGAAGAAAAUGAUUGAAAAACAAAAACUUCAGAAAACCUCAUGACAUGCAAGCCACAUAACACAGCUAAAAAAGUCAAUAUUUCUCAUUGUUCAGUUUACUGUGGAAAGUGGGCAUGAUGGGUUCUAUGUAGUGAAUGUAGUUGAUGUAGUGAAAAUAAAUGUAUGUUAAAAUUUUAAAAAGAAUAUAAUUAUUAUUAGAUUUUUCUUGUAUGCUUCUAUGCUUGUAUACGGUUAUGAAAAUCACCCACAUUCCUUCACAAAUAUAGGCAUGUGACAAUUGUACACUGUAAUAGUUGAAGAAUUACAGUACCUCAAUAGGGAAGCAUGGAUUUAUGU